GGGGGUGUUUUGGAUUCGACAAGCGGAUCGGUGCGGACAAAAAGCAUACCGCGGGUUACGUCCGCGUCAAAAACGUAAAAAUAAAUUUAAACGCUAAAACGAAUAAAGUCGCAAAAGCUCCGGCUUUUGCACUUGCCGCUUAAUUUAACUUAAGCUGUCGAACCGUCUUUCCGACGAGGACGGAGCUCGGCAUCACUUUAGUCGGGUAUUUCUUUGCGAAAAGGAUGUAUCGCAAGGAGGACUCCUCAUCCUUUGGUUCGCCGCGAUCUGCCGACCGUACGCCACGAACAACCUAAAAAAUAAAUCGGCUAAGUAUGUAGAAAGUGUCCGUGUCGCCCGUUUGAACAGGGGUUCAACUCCCCUCACCUCCACCA
rnacentral:tmRNA from 1 species